rnacentral:snoRNA from 1 species
CUGCAUCCAAUUAAGCUAAGUUACUUUUCUUAAUGGAGUCUGCUGUGCAGUGGCUGAAAAUAGUAUGCUUCUUGGGAGGUUGUAUAUAUGGGUUUGGGUUUCCCUAAGAGACCUUGGGGACCGAA